CCUAAUUAUGGGAUAUAUAAGAUUUUUAAAAUAUUCAAACUGCUCUACUAAAAAGUUGCUUAAAAUGGCAUAGUGUAGUUUACUUCCGAGGUUCACAAAUAUUAUCAACAAAUCUCUGAUUUAAAAACAAAUUUAAUAGAAUUGAUUCAUAGUUUUGAAUACAUCAUUAAUUUAUAAACAAAUUUUUGUAUCGUUAACCAGGUAUCUGACGCAUUCUUAGAAAAUUUAUAGAGGAAUAAAACCAGCAUUUUUGUAUAAAACUUAGGUAAAGGAUUCUCAAACGAUUAAGUAAAGAUAUCCCAAAUUUACAAUCCCGUAUCUAUAAUAGCUUGUAUUUAAACAAAAAAAAAAAAAAAAA
rnacentral:lncRNA from 1 species